rnacentral:ncRNA from 1 species
UGGUAAAGGCUUAGUAGUUCUUAGUUGUGCUAUCAAAACUUAGUGAUGACCGCACAUGGACGUGCGGUCAAGCAAUCAGUAACACGAUGUCACAUUGAUUGCGUUCACGUUCGGCUUAAAAACUUUCUAGCACAACUUAGAACUACUUA